rfam:Macaca mulatta chromosome 11, whole genome shotgun sequence.
AAAUGCUGGGAUUACAGGCAUGAGCCACCGCAGUCGACCAUGAUCUGGACAUGUUUGUGCCUGGGAUUGU